GACGAACGCUGGCGGCGUGCUUAACACAUGCAAGUCGAACGCUGAAGCUCAGCUUUUGUUGGGUGGAUGAGUGGCGAACGGGUGAGUAACACGUGAGCAACCUGCCCCCUUCUUUGGGAUAACGCCCGGAAACGGGUGCUAAUACUGGAUAUUCACUGGUCUUCGCAUGGGGGUUGGUGGAAAGGGUUUUUCUGGUGGGGGAUGGGCUCGCGGCCUAUCAGCUUGUUGGUGGGGUGAUGGCCUACCAAGGCUUUGACGGGUAGCCGGCCUGAGAGGGUGACCGGUCACAUUGGGACUGAGAUACGGCCCAGACUCCUACGGGAGGCAGCAGUGGGGAAUAUUGCACAAUGGGCGCAAGCCUGAUGCAGCGACGCCGCGUGAGGGAUGGAGGCCUUCGGGUUGUGAACCUCUUUCGCUCAUGGUCAAGCCGCAACAAUGGUUGUGGUGAGGGUAGUGGGUAAAGAAGCGCCGGCUAACUACGUG
rnacentral:rRNA from 1 species